AGAGUUUGAUCCUGGCUCAGAUUGAACGCUGGCGGCAUGCCUUACACAUGCAAGUCGAACGGCAGCACGGGAGCAAUCCUGGUGGCGAGUGGCGAACGGGUGAGUAAUACAUCGGAACGUGCCCAGUUGUGGGGGAUAGCCCGGCGAAAGCCGGAUUAAUACCGCAUACGACCUGUGGGUGAAAGCGGGGGAUCGCAAGACCUCGCGCAAUUGGAGCGGCCGAUGUCAGAUUAGCUUGUUGGUGGGGUAAAAGCCUACCAAGGCGACGAUCUGUAGCUGGUCUGAGAGGACGACCAGCCACACUGGGACUGAGACACGGCCCAGACUCCUACGGGAGGCAGCAGUGGGGAAUUUUGGACAAUGGGCGCAAGCCUGAUCCAGCCAUGCCGCGUGUGGGAAGAAGGCCUUCGGGUUGUAAACCACUUUUGUCAGGGAAGAAACGGCUCGAUCUAAUAAAUUGGGCUAAUGACGGUACCUGAAGAAUAAGCACCGGCUAACUACGUGCCAGCAG
rnacentral:rRNA from 1 species